rnacentral:misc_RNA from 1 species
GUGAAUCAUCGAAUUUUUGAACGCAUAUUGCACUCUUUGGUAUUCCGGAGGGUAUGCCUGUUUGAGGGUAAUUAAAAAGAAUCUGUACAAAUUGGUGUUGGGCAAAGGAAAUGAGUUCUCCGCGUGUAUAGCGGUAGCAUAAAAUAAAGGGGCAAGUCUGAUUCUAGUCGAGACGCGUAAUAAUAUUAUUUCGCGAAAUCUUCAUUAUGUGACUAUCAAGCUGUGAUGCAUAGAAAUUUGGUUUGUAUGCGAUUAAUACAAAGAUU